rnacentral:RNase_P_RNA from 2 species
UGGGUCGGCAAGACGGUCGCGUCAUUCUGUGCCUGGGGAAUUCGUUUCCGGGGCGCAGGAUGCCGAGGAACGUCCGGGCUCCAGAGAGCAGGACGGUGGGUAACACCCACCCGGGGUAACCCGCGAGACAGUGCCACAGAAAGUAGACCGCCCUCGGCCUCGGCCGGGGGUAAGGGUGAAACGGUGGUGUAAGAGACCACCAGAGGCCAGGGCGACCUGGUCGGCUAGGUAAACCUCGUCCGGAGCAAGGUCAGACAGAAAGCGCUAAGGCUGCUCGCCGAGCUUUCGGGUAGACCGCUAGAGGGCUGCGGCAACGUAGUCCCAAGAUAGAUGGCCGUCCAUGGCACUUCGGUGCCGGGACAGAACCCGGCGUACCAGCCGGCCCAUUCC